rnacentral:misc_RNA from 1 species
GAUGAAGAACGCAGUGAAAUGCGAUAAGUAAUGUGAAUUGCAGAAUUCAGUGAAUCAUCGAAUGUUUGAACGCACAUUGCGCCCGCCAGUAUUCUGGCGGGCAUGCCUGUUCGAGCGUCAUUACAACCCUCAGGCCCCCGGGCCUGGCGUUGGGGAUCGGCGGAAGCCCCCUGCGGGCACAACGCCGUCCCCCAAAUACAGUGGCGGUCCCGCCGCAGCUUCCAUUGCGUAGUAGCUAACACCUCGCAACUGGAGAGCGGCGCGGCCACGCCGUAAAACACCCAACUUCUGAAUGUUGACCUCGAAUCAGGUAGGAAUACCCGCUGAACUUAAGCAUAUCAAUAAGCGGAGGA